CGGUAAUACGGAGGGWGCAAGCGUUAUCCGGAUUUAUUGGGUUUAAAGGGUCCGUAGGCGGACUUAUAAGUCAGUGGUGAAAGCCUGUCGCUUAACGAUAGAACUGCCAUUGAUACUGUAAGUCUUGAGUAUAUUUGAGGUAGCUGGAAUAAGUAGUGUAGCGGUGAAAUGCAUAGAUAUUACUUAGAGCACCAAUUGCGAGGGCAGGUUACCAAGAUAUAACUGACGCUGAGGGACGAAAGCGUGGGGAGCGAACAGGAUUAGAUACCCUGGUAGUCCACGCCGUAAACGAUGCUAACUCGUUUUUGGGCUUUAGGGUUCAGAGACCAAGCGAAAGUGAUAAGUUAGCCACCUGGGGAGUACGCUCGCGCAGAGUGAAACUCAAAGGA
rnacentral:rRNA from 1 species